UACAGAGGGUGCAAGCGUUAAUCGGAGUUACUGGGCGUAAAGGGCGCGUAGGUGGUUGUGUAAGUGAGACGUGAAAGCCCCGGGCUUAACCUGGGAAAGUCGUCUUAAACUGCAUGGCUAGAGUACUGUAGAGGGUAGUGGAAUUUCCGGUGUAGCGGUGAAAUGCGUAGAGAUCGGAAGGAACACCAGUGGCGAAGGCGGCUACCUGGACAGAUACUGACACUGAGGCGCGAAAGCGUGGGGAGCAAACAGG
rnacentral:rRNA from 1 species